rnacentral:lncRNA from 1 species
ACCAGUUCCUUUCCCCCACCCAGACACACACAGUGGAGGAGCAUCCUGGACCACUGAGCAGAAAGAAAUAAAGACAGAAGUUGAGGGCCUGCUGCUGGGGGUCGAUGCAGAGCGGGAAGCGACUGGCCCGGGUUGUAAGGAUGCCAUUCUGAACCGAGAGCUCAUCGGGGGGAAGACCCUGGGAGCCCCACCUGCGAGGGACAACCACAAGCAGAUGAACUUAUUACCCCAUCAAGCUGUGUGUCCAACGCUGCAGGUCACAGGGUCAGCCUUCUAGAACAAUGUGUGACCUUGACUCAGGUGUGCCUUCCCAGUCCUGUAGCCCACUCCGGCUCCCAGGGGAUGCUCACACAGGAAUUCUCCCCCCCCC